rnacentral:rRNA from 1 species
UACAGAGACCUCAAGCGUUAUCCGGAAUCAUUGGGCGUAAAGCGUACCGAUAGGUGGUUUUGAAAGUCUUGGGUAAAAGCCAGAAGCUUAACUUCUGAGUUUGCUUAAGAUACUGCAAAACUAGAGGGGCAAAGAGGUGCUUGGAACGAAUGGUGUAGUAGUGAAAUGCGUUGAUAUCAUUCGGAACACCGAAAGCGAAGGCAGAGCACUGGGUGCCACCUGACACUGCUAGGACGAAAGCGUGGGGAGCGAAUGGG